rnacentral:rRNA from 1 species
CCUACGGGAGGCAGCAGUAGGGAAUCUUCCGCAAUGGGCGAAAGCCUGACGGAGCAACGCCGCGUGAGUGAUGAAGGUCUUCGGAUCGUAAAACUCUGUUAUUAGGGAAGAACAAAUGUGUAAGUAACUAUGCACGUCUUGACGGUACCUAAUCAGAAAGCCACGGCUAACUACGUGCCAGCAGCCGCGGUAAUACGUAGGUGGCAAGCGUUAUCCGGAAUUAUUGGGCGUAAAGCGCGCGUAGGCGGUUUUUUAAGUCUGAUGUGAAAGCCCACGGCUCAACCGUGGAGGGUCAUUGGAAACUGGAAAACUUGAGUGCAGAAGAGGAAAGUGGAAUUCCAUGUGUAGCGGUGAAAUGCGCAGAGAUAUGGAGGAACACCAGUGGCGAAGGCGACUUUCUGGUCUGUAACUGACGCUGAUGUGCGAAAGCGUGGGGAUCAAACAGGAUUAGAUACCCUGGUAGUCCACGCCGUAAACGAUGAGUGCUAAGUGUAGGGGUUUCGCCCUUAGUGCUGCNGCUACGCGAUAGACGACUCCGCCGUCGGGAGGUAACGGUACCGACCGAGGUUAGUAAACGUUACGAAAGGAAGUUAGACGGCGUGAGACGNGCCGACGGACGACGACGAGGGGAGGAGGAG